GAUUUGGUGGUCACCUACUGCAAACAGGCCAAUGUGAUGCCUCACGCCCGGCACGACUGCAGCACGCAGCCCUUUGAGAGGACAGAGAGUGACACUUGCUUCCCCCUUGGGAAAAAUGCAGAUAUUUGUGACCAGUGCUACUGCUACAUCUGUGACAAACCAGCUGCUGAGUGCCAGCUCUGGACAGUCCCUUCCUUUUGCCACUGCAAUGCCCACAACAAGAGCAACUUCUGGAAGGCA